AGCGUUAUUUUCACAAUAAUGAGGAAUUCAAUACGCGGUACAAUGUACUCGCUAAUCAUUGUCCCUGCCUUAAUCUGACCGUGUUCGCACACCCGAGGCGUAGCCGUUAAUCUCGAAAAUGGAAUCCCGGAUUAAGGCUGCAUGAGCUCUAUGGUCGCAGUUAAAUACACGUCGCUACGCGCCAAAGGAAAGUUGAAUUUAGACCACCGUCAGAGCAUAGCGUCGAGUAUGCGCAUGCCUAGAGAUUUAUUUAAUUGACCCGGAUGCAGAGGCAAUAAAAUAGUCUCGACGAUAUCGAGAUAUUGAAAAUGGAUCAUCCGUUUGCCGGAUCCGCUUGAUGCUUCGUCUUGGUAUGACAGACAGUUAAAUAUAUGAGAAAUGACGAAGAAGUGAAAAUGCAGUCUAGUCUUCAUGGAGCGAAGAGCAAAGUUUUGAUCUGAUGGAAUUAUGCUUUUGUCAAUCAUAAACGUAGGAAUCUAGCAUUGAAGUGUACAUGAAAUGCAGAUUUUUGAAAUGGCCAAUAUUGUUUUUCUA